AGAGUUUGAUCCUGGCUCAGAGCGAACGCUGGCGGCAUGCUUAACACAUGCAAGUCUCACGGGCAGCAAUGUCAGUGGCGGACGGGUGAGUAACGCGUAGGAAUCUGUCUCCGGGUGGGGGAUAACUGCGGGAAACUACAGCUAAUACCGCAUGAUACCUGAGGGUCAAAGGCGCAAGUCGCCUGGAGAGGAGCCUGCGUACGAUUAGCUAGUUGGUGGGGUAAUGGCCUACCAAGGCUACGAUCCAUAGCUGGUCUGAGAGGAUGAUCAGCCACACUGGGACUGAGACACGGCCCAGACUCCUACGGGAGGCAGCAGUAGGGAAUCUUGCGCAAUGGGCGAAAGCCUGACGCAGCCAUGCCGCGUGAAUGAUGAAGGUCUUAGGAUUGUAAAAUUCUUUCACCGGGGAAGAUAAUGACGGUACCCGGAGAAGAAGCCCCGGCUAACUUCGUGCCAGCAGCCGCGGUAAUAA
rnacentral:rRNA from 1 species